rnacentral:rRNA from 1 species
GACGAACGCUGGCGGCGUGCUUAACACAUGCAGGUCGAACGGAAAGGCCCUGCUUUUGUGGGGUGCUCGAGUGGCGAACGGGUGAGUAACACGUGAGUAACCUGCCCUUGACUUUGGGAUAACUUCAGGAAACUGGGGCUAAUACCGGAUAGGAGCUCCUGCUGCAUGGUGGGGGUUGGAAAGUUUCGGCGGUUGGGGAUGGACUCGCGGCUUACCAGCUUGUUGGUGGGGUAGUGGCUUACCAAGGCUUUGACGGGUAGCCGGCCUGAGAGGGUGACCGGCCACAUUGGGACUGAGAUACGGCCCAGACUCCUACGGGAGGCAGCAGUGGGGAAUAUUGCACAAUGGGCGGAAGCCUGAUGCAGCAACGCCGCGUGCGGGAUGACGGCCUUCGGGUUGUAAACCGCUUUCGCCUGUGACGAAGCGUGAGUGACGGUAAUGGGUAAAGAAGCACCGGCUAACUACGUG